rnacentral:tRNA from 1 species
GGUAAGAUGGCUGAGAUUUAGGUGUUAGAUUGUAAAUCUACUUAGGAGGAUGUUAAACCUCUCUUACU